rnacentral:miRNA from 12 species
ACUUUCGCUAGCUCUGUAGACA